rnacentral:rRNA from 1 species
CCUACGGGUGGCAGCAGUGGGGGAUAUUGCACAAUGGGGGAAACCCUGAUGCAGCGACGCCGCGUGGGUGAAGAAGCGCCUCGGCGCGUAAAGCCCUAUCAGCAGGGAAGAACAAUGACGGUACCUGACUAAGAAGCACCGGCUAAAUACGUGCCAGCAGCCGCGGUAAUACGUAUGGUGCAAGCGUUAUCCGGAUUUACUGGGGGUAAAGGGAGCGCGGGCGGCGCGUUAAGCCUGGUGUGAAAGCCCGCGGCCCAACCGCGGGACUGCAUUGGAAACUGGCGCGCUGGAGUGCGGGAGGGGUAGGCGGAAUGCCUAGUGUAGCGGUGAAAUGCGUAGAUAUUAGGAGGAACACCAGUGGCGAAGGCGGCUUACUGGACGGUGACUGACGCUGAGGCUCGAAAGCGUGGGGAGCAAACAGGAUUAGAUACCCUAGUAGUC